rnacentral:tRNA from 1 species
CGGAGCGUAGCGCAGUCUGGUAGCGCACCUGCUUCGGGAGCAGGGGGUCGGAGGUUCGAAUCCUCUCGAUCCGACCA